AUUGAACGCUGGCGGCAUGCCUUACACAUGCAAGUCGAACGGCAGCACGGAGCUUGCUCUGGUGGCGAGUGGCGAACGGGUGAGUAAUAUAUCGGAACGUACCCUAGAGUGGGGGAUAACGUAGCGAAAGUUACGCUAAUACCGCAUACGAUCUAAGGAUGAAAGUGGGGGAUCGCAAGACCUCAUGCUCGUGGAGCGGCCGAUAUCUGAUUAGCUAGUUGGUAGGGUAAAAGCCUACCAAGGCAUCGAUCAGUAGCUGGUCUGAGAGGACGACCAGCCACACUGGAACUGAGACACGGUCCAGACUCCUACGGGAGGCAGCAGUGGGGAAUUUUGGACAAUGGGCGAAAGCCUGAUCCAGCAAUGCCGCGUGAGUGAAGAAGGCCUUCGGGUUGUAAAGCUCUUUUGUCAGGGAAGAAACGGUGAGAGCUAAUAUCUCUUGCUAAUGACGGUACCUGAAGAAUAAGCACCGGCUAACUACGUGCCAGCAGCCGCGGUAAUACGUAGGGUGCAAGCGUUAAUCGGAAUUACUGGGCGUAAAGCGUGCGCAGGCGGUUUUGUAAGUCUGAUGUGAAAUCCCCGGGCUCAACCUGGGAAUUGCAUUGGAGACUGCAAGGCUAGAAUCUGGCAGAGGGGGGUAGAAUUCCACGUGUAGCAGUGAAAUGCGUAGAUAUGUGGAGGAACACCGAUGGCGAAGGCAGCCCCCUGGGUCAAGAUUGACGCUCAUGCACGAAAGCGUGGGGAGCAAACAGGAUUAGAUACCCUGGUAGUCCACGCCCUAAACGAUGUCUACUAGUUGUCGGGUCUUAAUUGACUUGGUAACGCAGCUAACGCGUGAAGUAGACCGCCUGGGGAGUACGGUCGCAAGAUUAAAACUCAAAGGAAUUGACGGGGACCCGCACAAGCGGUGGAUGAUGUGGAUUAAUUCGAUGCAACGCGAAAAACCUUACCUACCCUUGACAUGGCUGGAAUCCCCGAGAGAUUGGGGAGUGCUCGAAAGAGAACCGGUACACAGGUGCUGCAUGGCUGUCGUCAGCUCGUGUCGUGAGAUGUUGGGUUAAGUCCCGCAACGAGCGCAACCCUUGUCAUUAGUUGCUACGAAAGGGCACUCUAAUGAGACUGCCGGUGACAAACCGGAGGAAGGUGGGGAUGACGUCAAGUCCUCAUGGCCCUUAUGGGUAGGGCUUCACACGUCAUACAAUGGCACAUACAGAGCGCCGCCAACCCGCGAGGGGGAGCUAAUCGCAGAAAGUGUAUCGUAGUCCGGAUCGUAGUCUGCAACUCGACUGCAUGAAGUUGGAAUCGCUAGUAAUCGCGGAUCAGCAUGUCGCGGUGAAUACGUUCCCGGGUCU
rnacentral:rRNA from 1 species